rnacentral:rRNA from 1 species
UACGAAGGGGGCUAGCGUUGUUCGGAAUUACUGGGCGUAAAGCGCACGUAGGCGGAUAUUUAAGUCAGGGGUGAAAUCCCGGGGCUCAACCCCGGAACUGCCUUUGAUACUGGGUAUCUCGAGUCCGAGAGAGGUGAGUGGAAUUCCGAGUGUAGAGGUGAAAUUCGUAGAUAUUCGGAGGAACACCAGUGGCGAAGGCGGCUCACUGGCUCGGUACUGACGCUGAGGAGCGAAAGCAUGGGGAGCGAACAGG